rnacentral:rRNA from 1 species
UACGUAGGUGGCAAGCGAUACUCGGAAUCACUAGGCGUAAAGCGCAGGUAGGAGGUUUGGUAAGUCUGUUGUGAAAGCUCCCGGCUUAACUGGGAGAGGUCAACGGAAACUACCAGGCUAGAGUGCGGUAGAGGUAGCUGGAAUUCCCGGUGUAGCGGUGAAAUGCGUAGAUAUCGGGAGGAAUACCUAUGGCGAAAGCAGGCUACUGGACCGUCAACUGACUCUGAUCUGCGAAAGCUAGGGGAGCAAACAGG